rnacentral:rRNA from 1 species
GACGAAGGAUGCAAGUGUUAUCCGGAUUCAUUGGGUUUAAAGGGAGCGUAGGUGGCCUUAUAAGUCAGUGGUGAAAUCUCUGGGCUUAACCCAGAAAUUGCCAUUGAUACUGUAGGGCUUGAGUAUAGUUGCCGUUGGCGGAAUAUGACAUGUAGUGGUGAAAUACAUAGAGAUGUCAUAGAACACCGAUUGCGAAGGCAGCUAACGAAACUAUAACUGACACUGAGGCUCGAAAGUGCGGGGAUCAAACAGG